UAAGUUCUUAAAAUACAUGUAUGUAUAUGUAUAUAUUAUAUAUGCGUAUGUAAUUAUGGGAUUCUAAGCUUUACGGGAAACCCAACCGAAAGUUCCUUAAAUAAGAAAUUUUCGAUUGCGUUUCCCGUAAAGCUUAGAACCCCGCAAUUACCAAUUACAUACGCAUAUAUAAUUUAUAAAUACACAUACAUAUAUUUUAAGAACCUA